UACGGAGGGGGCUAGCGUUGUUCGGAAUUACUGGGCGUAAAGCGUGCGCAGGCGGUUUUGUAAGCCAGAUGUGAAAUCCCCGGGCUUAACCUGGGAAUGGCAUUUGGGACUGCAAGGCUGGAGUGUGGCAGAGGAGACUGGAAUUCCUGGUGUAGCAGUGAAAUGCGUAGAUAUCAGGAGGAAUACCGAUGGCGAAGGCAGGUCUCUGGGCUGACACUGACGCUCAUGCACGAAAGCGUGGGGAGCAAACAGG
rnacentral:rRNA from 1 species